GUCUGAAAACAAAAUAAUUCCCAAGGGAAUUGAAAC
rnacentral:other from 1 species